GACGAACCGUGCAACCGUUGUUCGGAAUCACUGGGCUUAAAGGGCGCGUAGGCGGGUGGCCAAGUCAGGGGUGAAAUCCGGCAGCUCAACUGUCGAAUAGCUUUUGAUACUGGCCGUCUUGAGGGGGGUAGGGGCAUGUGGAACUUCCGGUGGAGCGGUGAAAUGCGUAGAUAUCGGAAGGAACGCCGGUGGCGAAAGCGACGUGCUGGACCCUUUCUGACGCUGAGGCGCGAAAGCCAGGGGAGCAAACGGG
rnacentral:rRNA from 1 species